rnacentral:rRNA from 1 species
GACGAACGCUGGCGGCGUGCUUAACACAUGCAAGUCGAACGGAAAGGCCUGCUUUCCCUUGUGGAUUGCGGGUACUCGAGUGGCGAACGGGUGAGUAACACGUGAGUGAUCUGCCCCCAACUUGGGUAUAAGCCUGGGAAACUGGGUCUAAUUCCCGAUAGGACUGCAGGGUGGUGCCUGUGGUGGAAAACGAUUUUCUAGUGGUUGGGGAUGAGCUCGCGGCCUAUCAGCUUGUUGGUGGGGUAAUGGCCUACCAAGGCGGCGACGGGUAGCCGGCCUGAGAGGGUGGACGGGCACAUUGGGACUGAGAUACGGCCCAGACGCCUACGGGAGGCAGCAGUGGGGAAUAUUGCACAAUGGGCGGAAGCCUGAUGCAGCGACGCCGCGUGGGGGAUGACGGCCUUCGGGUGGUAAACUCCUUUCGACCGCGAGGAAGCCACCUGGUUGGAAGGGUGGUGACGGUAGUGGUAGAAGAAGCACCGGCUAACUACGUG